rnacentral:rRNA from 1 species
UAGGGAAUCUUCGGCAAUGGGGGCAACCCUGACCGAGCAACGCCGCGUGAGUGAAGAAGGUUUUCGGAUCGUAAAGCUCUGUUGUAAGAGAAGAACGUGUGUGAGAGUGGAAAGUUCACACAGUGACGGUAACUUACCAGAAAGGGACGGCUAACUACGUGCCAGCAGCCGCGGUAAUACGUAGGUCCCGAGCGUUGUCCGGAUUUAUUGGGCGUAAAGCGAGCGCAGGCGGUUUAAUAAGUCUGAAGUUAAAGGCAGUGGCUUAACCAUUGUUCGCUUUGGCAACUGGUAAACUUGAGUGCAGAAGGGGAGAGUGGAAUUCCAUGUGUAGCGGUGAAAUGCGUAGAUAUAUGGAGGAACACCGGUGGCGAAAGCGGCUCUCUGGUCUGUAACUGACGCUGAGGCUCGAAAGCGUGGGGAGCAAACAGG